AACCGUCUUCGGUGCAGCCCAGAGCAGUCGAGAAAGAGACAACGGAAUUACGUACGCUCUGCUCCCACCCCCUCCUGCUCCUCCCCUCCCCCACAGAGUUCAAGUUCUACAGUGAAGUGUACUGCGAGAAUGGCCGAAAGUUCUAGGAAGAGACCUCUAUCGCUUCCAGCUAAAAAAAACUCGAUCUGAGGCGAAAAGAAUAUCAGAUGGGAAGCAAGCAAAUACACGUUAAUCUAGGGAGUGUUUUCCACCGAUGGAGACAGCUUGGAUAGCAAGGAGAUGCAGUUUGAUUCUGAACUUGCGACAUUUCUUCUUGACUGGAUCAGAUCACCUCUUCAUUUCCUGUGGCUCAUCAACAUGAAGCGUGACUCGUUAGCCCAACUUCUUGCUGUUGAAGACUAAGGACUAUCCAUGUGCCCAGCUGCUUCCCUCCUGCCUCAUAUAGUCCAAAAGUUACAUUUCUAUUCAUGUUGUUGCACUUGGUAGAUGUAAAGUUUAUUCCUGUCUUGUAGUUUUAUAAUAAAUACCAAGAAUCAGGAUUGGUGAAACAUUG